rnacentral:rRNA from 1 species
AUUGAACGCUGGCGGCAGGCCUAACACAUGCAAGUCGAGCGGAUGAAGGGAGCUUGCUCCUGGUUUCAGCGGCGGACUGGUGAGUAAUGCCUAGGAAUCUGCCUGGUAGUGGGGGAUAACGUCCGGAAACGGGCGCUAAUACCGCAUACGUCCUGAUGGAGAAAGUGGGGGAGCUUCGGACCUUACGCUAUCGGAUGAGUCUAGGUCGGAUUAUCUAGGUGGUGGGGUAAAGGCCUACCCAGGCGACGAUCCGGAACUGGUCUGAGAGGAUGAUCAGUCAAACUGGAACUGAGACACGGUCCAGACUCCUAAGGGAGGCACCAGUCGGGAAUAUUGGACACUGGGCGAAAGCCUGAUCCAGCCAUGCCGAGUGUGUGAAGAAGGUCUUCGGAUUUUAAAGCACUUUAAGUUGGGAGGAAGGGCAGUAAGUUAAUACCUUGCUGUUUUGACGUUACCAACAGAAUAAGCACCGGCUAACUUCGUG